rnacentral:sRNA from 1 species
AUCUUUUGAGGACAGUGCGUUGUCCCGUGAGCGAGAUGGCGCUAGUUCAGUGAAGAAGCCAGACGGGAUGGCAAUACUGGACGAGAGCAGAGGGGGGUACCGUGUGUUUGUGGGAGACCUUGGCAGUCGUGUGGGAAAAUAUGAGCUGGAGAGAGAGUUCCAGCAUUUUGGUCCUAUAUUGGACGUUUGGGUGGCCAGAAAUCCACCAGGAUUUGCAUUUCUGGUUUACAAGUAUGGGGAAGAUGCCGAAGAAGCCAGUCAAGAAACUUCAUGGAAACUUGGUUUGUGGGCGUCGUGUGCGAGUAGAACACGCUGUCCCCUAUGGAGAGCAGACCACUGUCAAAUACAGCUCCCGAUCAGAGAGAAAUAGAUCGUCUAGAAGGUCACGUUCAAGGUCAAGAUCUCCAAGGCGACAAAGAUCUCCAGCAUCUCCAUCUUCUAGAAGAAAGACAAGGUCACGCUCAAGAGACAGAAGGUCAAGAUCACAAAAUACAGAUGGAUCUAGAUUAAGGAAGAGAAACAGAACUAGGUCAAGGUCACAGUCAAGGAAGAGAGACAGAUCUAGAUCCAGAUCCAGGAAAAGGGAAAGAUCUGGAUCAAGAAAGAGAGACAGAUCUGGAUCAAGAAAGAGAGACAGAUCAGGAUCAAGGAAGAAAGACAGAUCUGGAUCAAGAAAGAGAGACAGAUCAGGAUCAAGGAAGAGAGAAAGAUCAGGAUCAAGGAAGAAAGACAGAUCUGGAUCAAGAAAGAGAGACAGAUCUGGAUCAAGGAAGAGAGAAAGAUCUAGAUCAAGGAAGAGAGACAGAUCAGGAUCAAGAAAGAGAGACAGAUCAGGAUCAAGAAAGAGAGACAGAUCAGGAUCAAGGAAGAGAGACAGAUCCAGAUCAAGAAAGGGAGACAGAUCUGGGUCAAGAUCAAGAAAAUGUGAUAGGUCAAGGUCAAGACAAAAGAAUAGAUCAAGGUCAAAAAGCCUAGAAAGAAGAAGUAAAGACAGAGACACAGAUGGAUUGUCAAAACAGAAAGCAGAAUCACUACACACCAAUAAUGAUGUUGAAAGGUUGAAUUCCAAGUCCCCGACAAAAGAUAAACAACCAGAAGAGAGUAUGCCAGAAGCUAAGGAAAAUUCUUCUGCUGAUAAGGUUGAUGAGAAUACAAAGCUGAGUGAUAACAAUGGGCUCAGUGAAGAUGUAGACGUCAGAAUGUCAGAGGAGGAACAGGAAACAGGGGAGAACAAAGCAAGGAAUGAUGAAAUUUCAAAUGGUAAAGAUGAAAGCAAGGAGGAGAAAGUGAAGCAUCAUGGGAGGGACAAAUUUGACAGGAUCGGAAGUCGAGCAGACAGCCCAAACUCAGAAGGUUCUGAGGAUUGAACUCGUUCGAACCAAGAGGGCAAGAUCUAGCCAGUGAAAUGCCAGGCUGUAAUUGUCAAUCAGAAAUCAUAUUACAGCAAUCAUUGAUGACAAAUCAAAGUCUCAGAUAAUUUAUUUUAAUCACACUUUGAAUUAUACCAUAAUACAAUGUUAAAAAUAACGUCUGUUGCUUUAGUUAAACUCCAACACACAUGUUGUCUGUUACAUGUAUUAAUGUUGAAAUUUUACAUUUACUGUAACUUUUCAUAAAUCAUUUUUUAAAAAUAUAUAUUGCCAAUAACACAUUGAUUUAAACC